ACCCUUUAAUGUUUGAUGUUCUAACGUGGACCCGUGAUCCGGGUUGCGGACAGUGUCUGGUGGGUAGUUUGACUGGGGCGGUCUCCUCCUAAAGAGUAACGGAGGAGCACGAAGGUUGGCUAAUCCUGGUCGGACAUCAGGAGGUUAGUGCAAUGGCAUAAGCCAGCUUGACUGCGAGCGUGACGGCGCGAGCAGGUGCGAAAGCAGGUCAUAGUGAUCCGGUGGUUCUGAAUGGAAGGGCCAUCGCUCAACGGAUAAAAGGUACUCCGGGGAUAACAGGCUGAUACCGCCCAAGAGUUCAUAUCGACGGCGGUGUUUGGCACCUCGAUGUCGGCUCAUCACAUCCUGGGGCUGAAGUAGGUCCCAAGGGUAUGGCUGUUCGCCAUUUAAAGUGGUACGCGAGCUGGGUUUAGAACGUCGUGAGACAGUUCGGUCCCUAUCUGCCGUGGGCGCUGGAGAACUGAGGGGGGCUGCUCCUAGUACGAGAGGACCGGAGUGGACGCAUCACUGGUGUUCGGGUUGUCAUGCCAAUGGCACUGCCCGGUAGCUAAAUGCGGAAGAGAUAAGUGCUGAAAGCAUCUAAGCACGAAACUUGCCCCGAGAUGAGUUCUCCCUGAGACUUAGAGUCUCC
rnacentral:rRNA from 1 species